rnacentral:rRNA from 1 species
CACUCCUACGGGAGGCAGCAGUGGGGAAUAUUGGACAAUGGGCGCAAGCCUGAUCCAGCCAUGCCGCGUGAGUGAUGAAGGCCCUAGGGUUGUAAAGCUCUUUCACCGGUGAAGAUAAUGACGGUAACCGGAGAAGAAGCCCCGGCUAACUUCGUGCCAGCAGCCGCGGUAAUACGAAGGGGGCUAGCGUUGUUCGGAUUUACUGGGCGUAAAGCGCACGUAGGCGGACUAUUAAGUCAGGGGUGAAAUCCCGGGGCUCAACCCCGGAACUGCCUUUGAUACUGGUAGUCUUGAGUUCGAGAGAGGUGAGUGGAAUUCCGAGUGUAGAGGUGAAAUUCGUAGAUAUUCGGAGGAACACCAGUGGCGAAGGCGGCUCACUGGCUCGAUACUGACGCUGAGGUGCGAAAGCGUGGGGAGCAAACAGGAUUAGAAACCCUUGUAGUCCCAUGAU